AUUUGCAAGUAAAGCCAGGUGCAAACAUGUUGGAGACACGCCUAUCUAAAUGAGGGUUUUGUGUGUUUUUUGUUGGUUUGCAGCAUGGUGAGUUUGGAGAGACGAAAGCGCAAAGCUAAAUUAGA